AAAAACUGGCAGAAAAACUCUAAAUGUAAACAAUCAUGAGAAACUGCAUAUUUUUCCUAUCGAGAGGACGAAGUUAAGAUAAGGCAGUGUUUUGUAUUUUUCAAUAAUUAGAAUCUUUGCUAAACUAAUAAUUACAAGACUCAAAUAUUCUUCUGAGACAGAAAGUGCACUAUGUUUCAUCAUCGUAGACUGAUACUUGGACUUGCUCAUUCGUUAAAGGUUGUCAGGUCUUGUCCAUCAUGCAACUGUGGAUGCAACUGUGGAUGUAGCUGUGGUAGGACGGCUGUUGUCAUAAGAAGCCAGGAAUGUGCACCAAGCUGCCAACCAGCAUGUUGUCAACCAACCUGUUGUCAACCAACCUGUUGUCAACCAACCUGUUGCCAACCAACCUGUUGUCAACCAACCUGUUGUCAACCAACCUGUUGCCAACCAUCAUGUUGCCAACCAACCUGUUGCCAACCAACAUGUUGUCAACCAGCAUGCUGCGAACCAGUUUGUGAACCGACUUGCUACCAACCAGCAAUUGUACAGACAUGUUGUCAACCAACUUGUUGUCAGCCAUCUUGUUGCCAACCAGUUUGUCAGCCAACUUGUUGUCAACCAUCUUGUUGCCAACCUACCUGUUGUCAACCAGCCUGCCAACCAUCUUGUUGUCAGCCAGUUUGUCAGACAACUUGUUCAACCGGACUGCUUUGCAGGAAGAGAGAGGGAGAAACUAUUGUUGUCAAGGAGCCUGACACCUGUUGUUGUCAUCCAGUUACUGUCAAAACUUCUUGCUGCAACAAUUGCGGUUGCGGUUGUGGAUGCGGGUGCGGAUGUGGAUGUGGGUGUGGAUGUGGCUGCACACCAAGCUGCAUCCAAACUUACGCCUGCAAGAAGAAGAUUGGCAAAACUUAUGUGAUCAAGAAACCUGACACUUGUGAGUGUCAGCCAAUUCAAGUACAAACUUGUCAAGUCGCUCCAUCAUGUGGAUGCUCUUGCUCUCCUUGCUGUUAAAACAAUCCUUGUUGUUGAUCAAUCAAUUUAUAAUGCCUAAAAUGAAUUAGGAUAUCUGUAAAUAAAUAUUGAGAGAAAUAAAAUUAUUUUAUAAUAAAUUGGUUUAUUUAUUGAGCUUGAA